rnacentral:misc_RNA from 1 species
UCCAACUUAUCGCUGGCGGUCUCCUGAGAGUUGCGCCUUGCGGCAUGGCAACACAGGACAAGGGUUGCGCUCGUUGCGGGACUUAACCCAACAUCUCACGACACGAGCUGACGACAGCCAUGCAGCACCUCGACUCCACCCCCUUGCGGGGUAGCGCUAUUUCUAACGCCGUUGGGAAGCCGUUCGAGCCCAGGUAAGGUUCUUCGCGUUGCGUCGAAUUGAACCACAUGCUCCACCGCUUGUGCGGGCCCCCGUCAAUUCCUUUGAGUUUCAGCCUUGCGACUGUACUCCCCAGGCGGCAUAUUUAACGCGUUAGCUCCGGCACAGACAGAAUGAACUGCCCACACCAAAUAUGCAUCGUUUAGGGCGUGGACUAC